rnacentral:piRNA from 1 species
CGGGCAUCUCUUUCUUUAGGUUUGGGAAGGU